rnacentral:rRNA from 1 species
AUUGAACGCUGGCGGAAUGCUUUACACAUGCAAGUCGAACGGCAGCACGGACUUCGGUCUGGUGGCGAGUGGCGAACGGGUGAGUAAUACAUCGGAACGUGCCCAGUCGUGGGGGAUAACGUAGCGAAAGCUACGCUAAUACCGCAUACGAUCUACGGAUGAAAGCGGGGGAUCGCAAGACCUCGCGCGAUUGGAGCGGCCGAUGGCAGAUUAGGUAGUUGGUGGGGUAAAGGCUCACCAAGCCGACGAUCUGUAGCUGGUCUGAGAGGACGACCAGACAGACUGGGACUGAGACACGGCCCAGACUCCUACGGGAGGGAGAAGUGGGGAAUUUUGGACAAUGGGCGCAAGCCUGAUCCAGCCAUUCCGCGUGCAGGAUGAAGGCCCUCGGGUUGUAAACUGCUUUUGUACGGAACGAAAAGGCUCUGGUUAAUACCCGGGGCUCAUGACGGUACCGUAAGAAUAAGCACCGGCUAACUACGUGCCAGCAGCCGCCGUAA